GGGGAAGGUAGCUGCUCUGGACCUAGCGGCGGACGGGUGAGUAAUGCUUAGGAAUCUGCCUAUUAGUGGGGGACAACAUCUCGAAAGGGAUGCUAAUACCGCAUACGUCCUACGGGAGAAAGCAGGGGAUCUUCGGACCUUGCGCUAAUAGAUGAGCCUAAGUCGGAUUAGCUAGUUGGUGGGGUAAAGGCCUACCAAGGCGACGAUCUGUAGCGGGUCUGAGAGGAUGAUCCGCCACACUGGGACUGAGACACGGCCCAGACUCCUACGGGAGGCAGCAGUGGUCUGC
rnacentral:rRNA from 1 species